UACGUAGGGUGCGAGCGUUAAUCGGAAUUACUGGGCGUAAAGCGUGCGCAGGCGGUUUUGUAAGCCAGAUGUGAAAUCCCCGGGCUUAACCUGGGAAUGGCAUUUGGGACUGCAAGGCUGGAGUACGGCAGAGGAUGGCGGAAUUCCCGGUGUAGCAGUGAAAUGCGUAGGGAUCGGGAGGAACAUCUGUGGCGAAGGCGGCCAUCUGGACCAGCACUGACACUCAAGCACGAAAGCGUGGGGAGCAAACAGG
rnacentral:rRNA from 1 species